rnacentral:rRNA from 1 species
UACGAAGGGGACUAGCGUUGUUCGGAUUUACUGGGCGUAAAGCGCGCGUAGGCGGAUCGCUAAGUCAGGGGUGAAAUCCCAGGGCUCAACCCUGGAACUGCCUUUGAUACUGGCGAUCUGGAGAUCGGGAGAGGUUGGUGGAAUUCCGAGUGUAGAGGUGAAAUUCGUAGAUAUUCGGAGGAACACCAGAAGCGAAGGCGGCCAACUGGCCCGAUACUGACGCUGAGGCGCGAAAGCGUGGGGAGCAAACAGG